rnacentral:rRNA from 1 species
CACGUAGGGUGCGAGCGUUGUCCGGAAUUAUUGGGCGUAAAGAGCUCGUAGGCGGUGUGUCGCGUCGGCCGUGAAAACCUACAGCUUAACUGUGGGCUUGCGGUCGAUACGGGCAUCACUGGAGUUCGGCAGGGGAGACUGGAAUUCCUGGUGUAGCGGUGAAAUGCGCAGAUAUCAGGAAGAACACCCGUGGCGAAGGCGGCUCUCUGGGACGUGACUGACGCUGAGACGCGAAAGCGUGGGGAGCGAACAGG